rnacentral:misc_RNA from 1 species
AACGCAUAUUGCGCUCUUUGGUAUUCCGAAGAGCAUGCUUGUUUGAGUAUCAGAGAACCUAUCUCAGACCCUAUUUCUUGUCUUUUCGGAGACGAGGAGGGACUGAGGAACUGAGUACUCCCGUAGAUAAUUUUGUCCGCCUCUCCAGGCUGUGGCGAUGUCAUCUCCGGGUUGCUUGAAAUGUAGGUGCAGCAAUCUUCUAUUGGGUUCGUAUUCCCUCUGGCCUGAAAGCAUAUCUAUUUAGUCCCGUCAAAAGGAUUAUUGCUCUUUGCUGAAGUGUCGAAGGGGAGCCUAGAGGAGAGCUUGCCUCGAAUACAGGAAUUCUCUAAUUUUUUAUAAACUCGAUCUCAAAUCAAGUAAGACUACCCGCUGAACUUAA